AGAGUUUGAUCAUGGCCAAGUCGUAACAAGGUAGAGUUUGAUCAUGGCCAAGUCGUAACAAGGUAGAGUUUGAUCAUGGCUCAGAUUGAACGCUGGCGGCAUGCCUAACACAUGCAAGUCGAACGGCAGCACAGCAGAGCUUGCUCUGUGGGUGGCGAGUGGCGGACGGGUGAGUAAUGCAUCGGGACCUACCCAGACGUGGGGGAUAACGUAGGGAAACUUACGCUAAUACCGCAUACGUCCUACGGGAGAAAGCGGGGGACCUUCGGGCCUCGCGCGGUUGGAUGGACCGAUGUUCGAUUAGCUAGUUGGUAGGGUAAUGGCCUACCAAGGCGACGAUCGAUAGCUGGUCUGAGAGGAUGAUCAGCCACACUGGGACUGAGACACGGCCCAGACUCCUACGGGAGGCAGCAGUGGGGAAUAUUGGACAAUGGGCGCAAGCCUGAUCCAGCAAUGCCGCGUGUGUGAAGAAGGCCUUCGGGUUGUAAAGCACUUUUAUCAGGAGCGAAAUACUAUCGGUUAAUAACCGGUGGGGCUGACGGUACCUGAGGAAUAAGCACCGGCUAACUUCGUGCCAGCAGCCGCGGUAAUACGAAGGGUGCAAGCGUUAAUCGGAAUUACUGGGCGUAAAGGGUGCGUAGGCGGUUAGUUAAGUCUGUUGUGAAAUCCCCGGGCUCAACCUGGGAAUGGCAAUGGAUACUGGCUAGCUAGAGUGUGUCAGAGGAUGGUGGAAUUCCCGGUGUAGCGGUGAAAUGCGUAGAGAUCGGGAGGAACAUCAGUGGCGAAGGCGGCCAU
rnacentral:rRNA from 1 species